ensembl:lncRNA
CCCCGCGCCCCGACGGGAUCCGCGCGGCGGGAGGGGAUGGCCGGGGGGCCCGCAGAGCGGCCCGGCACGAGGUCUGCCCUCCUCUGUUACCCGUGCACCCAUCAGCUCCUGGGAGUCACUUUGAUGAAGGAAUCAGAGGAAAAUUGGAAAAUACCUUCAGCUUGAGGCCUGAGUCAAGUGCUGUUAUUAAUAGCGUGUUUAAUUACGAGUGGCAUCUAAAUCAGGCAUAAGCUGAAGAACAGGAGGAAAAGCAAAGCAAGAGAUUCCCAUGUUGAGACCAUGGAGCGCAGGAAGCUGCAGUGCUGUGCAGCCAUCUGAACUCAGAGUGAUGUUUGACCUCAGAUGAUGAACAGCAGCUUUGCCUUCUUGCUGUGCAAUGCCAGAUCACCAGAAAAGACCUUAGCUAAUACUUGUAAUGAUAUCGUGGCUCAGAUUGGGUGUACGAGCAUGUUGUAUGCUGCUUAACAGCAGAAGGUGAUGGGAUUCGAUGGAGAUACAUGUCUGUAUUUCCUAACCUUCAGCAGGAACAGCAAAGAACUCUUGUUCCAAGAAGGAAUUCAGAAUAUCUCCUCCGCGUUCUACCUCUGCAUGCUGAGACAGAGUGAGAACUGCAGUCAUGGAGUGAGAAGACUCACAGAAGAGGUGUGUGGUUGGUACACCCCAUCUGUCUGAGUUCUACAACAAGUCCCUGUUUGCAUCAAAUUCUGGACUGCUCGCGUCCCUCUCUGACUACACUGGAGAACAGCUGAGGUCCCUCUCACUGAACGCUGCUUCCCAAGGGCUGAAUUCGGAUGAGAAAACCACUGUAACAUUGGCUCCUACUAUUCAGUGGGAAUAACCAGAGCCAGGUGAGCACGGAUUCUGUGGCACAUAUUGAAUGCCUGGAGACCAACAACAGAGCUCCUGGAAUGGAAUUCCUCCAUUCCAGGUGGUCCACUGCAACAAAUAAUGGACUCAACAAAAAGAACAGUUAUAAGAAUAAAGGAGAAAGAGUGAUUUGUAUUUGGAGGAAUUACGAGUGUGACUUCAUUCAGAACCAGCCCAGCACACGUGCAGAACUCCCUAAGUGCAGUUCAGAGCAUUGCGUCCUCUGAUCAGGUAGGAACUAAUUUGCUAAGUGCAAAAGUUGGAAAAUUUUGUAGCUGUUUAACAGCAAAUCACAGAUCUGUCCUCAUUUAUUUUUCCUGACACAUUUAUUAUUGAAAGAUGGUUUGGUGAGUGCCGUAAGUAAGCAGGCGGUGUUGUUCCUGAGCCCUGAGAUUUGUCACUUCGGCUACAUCUUUCUGAUCUGUGACGGAGUGUUUUCUGCUGGAGAACAGGAAUGCUAAAUAAGGCAUCAAUAAUGCAAGAGAUCCGUGAAUAAUCACCCGAGUGCUUGAAAACGAGUGGACAGUGUGAUCAUAUGGUAGAAGAAAAAUAACGUUAGCUGCAUAUUUAUCAACGCCUGGUGCCAUUAGCACAGGGUCUGGCAAUAGCUCAAGGCUUCUAGGAGACAGUGCACACAGUGCUUUGGUGCCCAAUGCUACAGGAGGAGGGCACAUCCCCAGAGCAGGGAGCUUGUUUGGGCCCGGCCAGUCUGUGGCUGGAUGGGGUAAUGGAUGGGGAUGGCAGACAGCACCCUUCGUGUGUUUGUCCUAUGCUGCUGCAUUUUAGCCCCGUCUCUCACUGCACCAACGUGUCUAUCUUAAAAAGGACUUCUGAGUGCAAACAUUUGAUCCUGGGAGCAAGCAGAGUCAUUGGAAACUGUACCAGAAAGAACUGCCCCUGUCCCGCAGCUGUGUUGGAGUCACUCUCGGACAGCCUGCACUUCUGGUAGCUUUGGAACUGAGCUCUUUUGGGGCUGAAUGAGAGGGGCCCAACAGCUCCAUCAGGAGAAAAAUGGCUGCGGGAAGUACAGAGUGCGUGUCAACGUGUGUCUAACGAGAGCUGAUGGGAAAUGCAGGACCGUGAACAGAUGCAAUGGAAUGGCAUCCUGUGGGAGGAGGCAGGUCCAGCCGCACACGGCACUGCCACGGGGUACAGGAACGAGUUAAUGCCACUGGGGGACGGCUGAGAACAGCGACAUUGUUGUUCCCUGAUGUCAGCCCAGAAACCCAAACACAAAGAGGUGAAUGUAGUGCUAUGAGAGGGCCCUUGAGAGAGCUGAAUGCUGGGCCUGUGCCGGGGCACCCAGCAGAAUUAGAAACGGCAGGGGAUGACCAAGUGUUUCCUGGAAGCAGGGGCUGCAGGCAGCUGUCGGCAGGCAGGGCUGUGUGCGUGGGGCACUGCUGGCUGCAGUGGUACAAGCAGGCAGUGUCGGUAGGCUUGAGGAGAUCCACGUCCACGAGGGACUCCUGUUUUACUUUAUAGCUCAGCGUAAGGCGUCUCGUUUCCUCCUGUAGGAUGCACAUGUCGAGCCCUUCUGCAUAAUUCAGUGUUGCAUUUGGUGGGUGGUGCUCUGGGGGAUAUUUAGAUGGAGCGACAGUAGAGACAUUGCUUCGCUUCUGUACAAACUGCACAUCAGAUCUUCUACGUGUAACGUGGGGAAAAAAAGACAGAGAUCUGCUGGAAGGAGUCCGGUGGAGGGCCACAACGAUGAUAGAAGGCCUGGAGCAUCUUCCCUGUGAGGAAAGGCUGAGAGACCCCAGGUUCAGCCCGGGGAAAAGGAGGCCGAGAUGGGAUCUGUUUAUGUUUAUGAACAUGAAGGGAGGCGGGAGCCAAAAGGAUGAGGCCAGGCUCUUCUUGGUGGUGCGCAGCAAUAGGACGAGAAGCAACGGCCUAACACUUGUUGUAGGAAGUUUCAAGCUAACAUGUGGAAGAACUUUAUGUAAGGGUGAGGGAGCACCCUGCAGAUCUGUACGGAAAGUCUGAGACUAAACGCUGACAGAGACGUAUGCACCAACACACGGCACCACUGCAGGCAGCAUGACGGGGAGCCGGAACCCCGAGGGCAGCACCCGUCGGGGGGCCUCCACGGGGCACCAGCGGCAGGAGAGCGGCCGGCCCACAGGCCGAGAGCACGGAGCGGAGCGGCGGGGGACGGCGGGAAGCCCGGGGACAACGCCGGGCGGGGCCGCCGAGGCGCCGAGCUGCCCGCAGAGCGCUCCACCCAGCCGGGCUCGGCCCGGCCCCGCGCGGCGGCCCGCCCUCUCAUAGCGCCCCGCGAAAACCUUCCCACAGCCGGGGAUGUAGCUCAGUGGUAGAGCGCGCGCUUCGCAUGUGUGAGGUCCCGGGUUCAAUCCCCGGCAUCUCCAGCGGCUUCUUUUUUGCGUCGCACGCCAUUUUCUCCCCUCUCUCCAGCUGCGGGAGGCUCCCGUUGCCGCGAAUCGCGCGGCCGUUGUCCCGCCGCACCGCUGUGCGCCUGAGGCGAGUCCUCGGGGAGGCCGGGAAAGCAACGCGGCGCUGCGGCUUCUCCGGCCUUAAAAAGAGCACUGCUUUUUGCCGAAAGGAAAUACAAACGAGUAAAUCAAUCAAGGCUUUAAAGGGAAGGAAAAAAUUUCGGUUGCAUUGGCCGGGAAUCGAACCCGGGCCUCCCGCGUGGCAGGCGAGAAUUCUACCACUGAACCACCAAUGCACGACUUGCUAUGUUAUAUGGAUGGUCUGUCCUACAAUAUAUCAAACAUUGGGUUUCUGCUGUGCUUUUCUUCUCCCUUCCCUCUUCCCAGCUCUGUGCCCAUGAGCAGUACCUCCAGCCGUUAUCUCCAGGAGAAAAUGUUUUUAGAAAGUCGGCAAUAUUUGUAUACAUUUUUUCCUCCAACAGAUUAAAAACCCUGUAACUUUCCAUAAUAAAGUCAUCGUCCCUUGAAUUUAACAGCAUUCAGGCUAAGUAACAGCGGGUUUAUCCUUGUAUCCAGUGCUGGGAGGGCACUGCCAGAGGAGGCCACCAGCAGAGACCACAGCUCUGCUCAGCACAGCCCUGCUCUGAGGGAUGCAGCCCACAGACACUGAUACACAAUGGAACACAGUGCAGUGAUGGGUAAUGGUGUAAGAGGGCCUGGACAGUGACGUAACAACGUCACCACUGCAGCAGUGCGGUGCAGUGCCAUCACAACUCCUUGUUCCCCCAGACCUCAACUUCUCCUUUUACGCUCGCAGAAAGUAACAGAGUAAAAGCAUCAGGUAGUAACCCUUACUUAGGCUAUGCUUACAACAUCUCCAGUCAGCCCUGGAACACUUUCUCUAGAACAAAAGAAGUUAGAGGUGGAAAAUGCUCAUAUUGAGAAGAGUUUAACUUCCUGUUUUACUCUAUGUGGAGGAAGAUUUUACAGAUGAUCAACAAAGUGUUACCAAUCCUGUGCCAUUUCCAGAGUGAAAGUGAAACCAGCCCUUAUACUUGCAGUUUGCAGCUAAGAGAAUCCUUUCCCACAUGCAUCAGACAGCGCUCUGCAUCCGCUCAGAACAUCCAUGUAUGCUGGCUGAAGGGUUACAGACAGCAUGGUGAAGGAGGGGGAGUUGGACCCACUGCAGCUGGAGCACUGCUGCAGAACGUGCUUCAGAAGCACUUGUUCAAGCAGUGUGACAGGCUCAUACCUAACUUCUAACUCUAGGGAUGUCUAAGACAUCCUAACUUUACGAUGACUACACGUGGGAGAGUGCUGAAUGGAGAGAAUCAAGACCUGUAACAUUAGAAAAUGAUUAGAAAAUCAUUCCCUUCAGCUGGUUCAAAAAUCUUUCUAGAAGCCAAAGGGAUGCCAUAGACCUUCAGCAGAAACAGAGAAGGAAAAACAUGUUAUAGGGAGAGAGGAUUUUCUUAGGUCUUUUUAUCCAUCAAAAAGAGCCAAAUGCACUUCCUUCCAUUCCAGGUCACCUUUAAAGGGGCUCUGAUCUUGCUGCUUGUGGCUAAGGCUUGACACAGUGCCUUCCUAGUGGCUCUGCUGCUGCAGGGUGGGAGUGACAUGCUCUGGGCACUGGUGCUGCCCCUGCUGUGUGCCUCUGAGGAGGGUGCUGUAGCUCAGAGGCACUGAGAGCAUCUCAAGUGCAGGUGGUACAGGUGGAUUUGGAACAAGGUAAGGAGUUUCAGACAGGAAGUGCUAAAACUGCUCAAAUCACUCUUAAAACUGGAGGUGUGAGUUACCUGGAGUGUGGUAAGCGGACAUCAUUCAUUCCCUCUUUCCUGCUAGGUAUGGCCACACAUGCUCCUGCCAUGUGAUGCCCGUGUGGCGGUGCACCACUCACAGUUACAUUGGGGUUGCAUCCAUCUCUGUA